UCUGGUCAGCUCUACAACAUCUGGUCAGCUCUACAACGUUUUAGGUUACUUUUGGCUGAGCUUAGAUUUGAAGCUGGUAUCUUAGGUAGAGAAAGAAAAAAAACCAAAACAGUAGAUGUUGAUUUCAAAAAUAAGUUGGAUUCAGCCUUGCUUGAGAUAUAUAGAGAUAAUGUUCUAAAUGGAAUGAAAAGGAAACUCUAUUAUCAUAAAAGCAAGAAAAAUCCAAUGAAGAGUGCUGCAACUUUAGAUACUAAACUGACAAGUCUGAACAUCAGAGAGAGAUUAUUUCCAAAACCUGUUUCAAAACUCUCUUACUCUUUGAAAAAUGUCCCGUGCCAUAUAAAUUUGCUUUAUGGGUGGCACAAAGAGUUGAUGUCACCUCUUGUGAUAUCAUCGUUAGAGAUAAAGUCAUUCCACUUUCCAAAGAAUCAGUUCAUAUUUGUUUUGGGUUUGCCUGUUGGAGGUUUACCGAUUAGUUCAGAUUUUGAAGUUGGCAAACAGAUCCUUCUUGACUCUUUCGGCCUCUCUUCUUUGCCCUCUGUCAAAUAUUUUGGAGAGAAGCUUAUCAAAAAUGAAACAAUGUCUGAUGAGCAAAUCUUAAUGUGUUUCAUGAUUGUAUCCUUGAAUUGCUUCCUGUGCCCAAAUUCUUCUCUUCAACCUAGCACGAAAUAUCUGAGUGUUUUUGAAGAUCUUAGUUGUAUUGACAAUUUGGAUUGGAGCAGUCUUGUGAAUUAUUUGGAUUUUCUGAAUUUUGGUAUGCGAUUAGUACCAAAAGAUGUUCCAAGAAUAAAAGUAUGGAAAGGGUCAAUGAUCAAAAUAUUUUCAAAGUUUGAUAAAAUCAGCAAAGGUGUCUAUGGCAAAAGACCAAUUGGAAGUGAUGAUGUGAAAGAAAAUGUUCAUGUUAAACCCAUUGAGAGAAGCUUUCUAGAUAUGCUUGAUUCUUCAAUUGGUGCUGAUUUAACUCAAGAUAUGAAAAACAAGAUCAAUGAUUUGCUGAUUCAACAUUUUGGUCCUGAUGAGAACUGCAUUGAUGAAAGAGCAAAGAAUCUUCUUGUAGAUGUCUUUGUUCUUUUAUCUAAUAGCAAGCCAAUUGUUCCUGAAACACUAAGUAAAUUCAAUGAUGAUAGUUCAAUGGUAAAAGACCAGAAUACCUGUAAUGAUAAUGCAAUUGGAAAUGAGCAAACUCCUAUGAAAAUAUCAUCUUCUCCAAAGGAUAAAAUAGGUGUUGUUGAUGGAAUUAUGAAAAAGCUUUCCAAGCCAGGACUUAGUAAUACUUCUCCAAAGAAAGCAAUAUCAAGCAUUGUUGGUUUCAAUGAAAGAAUAUCAAUAUUCUUGGGUCGUGAGAAGCCUAGCUUUAAAAUCUGGGAUUCAGAUGAUGAUUUUCCAAAUGAAGAAAAACAUCUCAAGACUCAAGUAACACCCAAACAUCAAGACAAUUCAAAUGUAAUGAUCAUUCCAAAGGACCUGUCACAAGAUUUCGAUGAUAAUUCACAAAGCCAAUUGAAAAAUUCAACUAAUGAGGACAAGUUAGCAAUGAUAACUUUGGAGGAUACCGAUACUGAAAUCUUGACUCAACAUAAUGAAAAGGAAAACUUGAACAUUGAACAACUACAGAAAAAGGAUUCACCUGAUGUCAUAUUUAUUGGAGAAAAACAAUGUCCAGACAAUUGUUUUGACAUAACUUCGAAGACUAAUGUUUUGUACAAUAAGAUCAACACAUUUGUAGUUAAACCAGACAAGAAGUUGAAGAUGUCUAUAGGCAGUCCUGAGAGGAUUCUGUUGUGCAAUGUUGAUAAAUUUGUUGGACAGUGCAGCACAAGUCAAAAACCAAAACAUGAUCUCAGAAGAAUUUUACAGCCAGCUAGAUACUAUACAGAUCCAUACAGCCCUGAGGAGACAUUCUUUCCAGUGACACAAUAG
rnacentral:lncRNA from 1 species